rnacentral:rRNA from 1 species
GACGAACGCUGGCGGUGUGCUUAACACAUGCAAGUCGAAUGGCGUGGCGAACGGGUGAGUAACACGUUGGUGAUCCGCCUUGCACUUCGGGAUAAGCUUUGGACACUGGGACUCAUACCGGAUAGUGCAAGAUGAGAUCGCGGCCUAUCGGCUUGUUGGUGGGGUAAUGGCCAACCAAGGCGCCGACGCGUAGCCGGCCUGAGAGGGUGUACGGCAACAUUGGGACUGGUAUGCGGCCCAGACUCCUACGGGGUGCAGCAGUGAGGAAUAUUACACAAUGGGCGGAAGCCUGAAGCAGCAACGCCGCGUGGGGGAUGAAGGCCUUCGGGUUGUAAACUCCUUUCGACAGGGACGCGGUACCUGUAUAAGAAGCCCCGGCUAACUACGUGCCAGCAGCCGCGGUAAUCC